GAUGAACGCUAGCUACAGGCUUAACACAUGCAAGUCGAGGGGCAGCAUGGUCUUAGCUUGCUAAGGCCGAUGGCGACCGGCGCACGGGUGAGUAACACGUAUCCAACCUGCCGUCUACUCUUGGACAGCCUUCUGAAAGGAAGAUUAAUACAAGAUGGCAUCAUGAGUCCGCAUGUUCACAUGAUUAAAGGUAUUCCGGUAGACGAUGGGGAUGCGUUCCAUUAGAUAGUAGGCGGGGUAACGGCCCACCUAGUCUUCGAUGGAUAGGGAUUCUGAGAGGAAGGUCCCCCACAUUGGAACUGAGACACGGUCCAAACUCCUACGGGAGGCAGCAGUGAGGAAUAUUGGUCAAUGGGCGAGAGCCUGAACCAGCCAAGUAGCGUGAAGGAUGACUGCCCUAUGGGUUGUAAACUUCUUUUAUAAAGGAAUAAAGUCGGGUAUGGAUACCCGUUUGCAUGUACUUUAUGAAUAAGGAUCGGCUAACUCCGUG
rnacentral:rRNA from 1 species